rnacentral:sRNA from 1 species
CUUCGUUGAGCCUCAAGACGAAGAAAAGAGUUGGAAAACAUGAACUUAGCGCUUAAGUGCUAGUCUCGUUUCCCGCUCCAA